UAUGAAUAGUGCAAAUGGCUCAGCUAUGAUCACAUUCUUGUUUUGCUCAGCAUGCACCGAGAGCAGUGUGGGCUGAUGGAGUGCAAACGAGCCCAGACCGUCUCUGCAAGCUACAAUCCGGCAGAUCGGAGACAGCAUCACGUCUGUCUGCAAAGCUGGGGAAAUCUUUAGCUUGCCUGGUUUUGGAAGGAAAAAGGCCCCCCUUUUAAAAAAACAAACAAACAUCAAAACCCUAAACUGAAGGCACAACAAAAACGAGCAGAGAAGAAAACUAGGGGUGCUGGAUAACUUUUUUUUCUGAAGGAAUUGUGAUGGCCAUAGGAUUUGGAGGCUAACCAGAAUAGCCGAGAGGGCUCUGUCGGGCAAGCCGGGAACAACUGACAGCUCGGAGACAUUCUGAAAGGCAGAGACCAGGAAUCAGGCAAAUGUUGCCCCUGUCUUCAAAAAGGAGGAUCUAAGAAACUACAGACUUGUCAGCCUGACUUUGAUACCAGCUUCUUUAGUGCAAGCAGAGAAGCUCCACGCAGCUCCGUGCUCACUGUGCGCGGGCACCCCAGAUGGGACUUUCCCUUGCAAGCUCUCAGACUCCUUAUGGGGACUGCAACCUAAGACCACCGUGGCCAAGACCCUGGCUUGCGAAGAUGGUCUCUUAUCAAGUGUCGUGUAAAGACUCGUGCUUCUGAUCCAGCCCCAAAGACAUUAGGGGAAGGGGUGAGACACCCCCCCCCCACUU